UGAAAUGAAGCCAGCACAGCCAUAAACCGGCUCCUUGAGCCUUGUUGUGGCCUCGUAUACCAAGCUCAUCGCAGCGUCUCCUCGAUCAUGUACUGGAAUCUCCUGCUGAAACAAAACAUGUCAGAUGAGAAAAACUUCAGGUAUGCUAUCAUUCCCCAGAGUAAAACUGCUGUUCCAGUUUCUUGUCUAUAAAUGCAGCAUCACCAUAGUAUGAAAGAGACUGAACAUUGUUGUAUCCAAUACCAUUUGAUGGAUAAUCGACAUGUACUAUAUUAUCACCAUAUACAGAGCACCAGCAUAAUGAUGAUAAAACCUAUCAUAUUCGAGUCCAUUGAUAAAUUAGUAUGAUGACAUUUCACUCCUUGGAGACUAUUGAAUUACCUCAUCUAAAAGCUUAAGCUAUUACGCACGGAACUCGUUUAUCUAUUCAAAUUUAGUCCUUCAACACAUGCAACUUUGAAGGUGUCUGUAGUGUGUGACAUAUUGGAAUGGUGCAUGUAGUAAUGAAGAAUGAGAUUAAGACUAAAGAUUAUUUACUUGUAACAUUUUACUGAUGUUGCUGGCACCAAAGACUCGAUGAACAGCUGCAAAUUUCUGAGGUUCAGAUGGCGGAAAGUAGGGCAAGAAGAUGCAAUCUUUGGUGCACCUCCUGCGGAGGAGCUUGCAUGCAGCACAAGGCAUAAUGUUUUUGCUAUAUGAUUCCAUUGGAAGAUGAGAAUGAGAGCUUUUUUUAGCUUAGCUGAACUUGCAGGGCUCUGCUGCUAUUUAUUAGUACACCAUCAUGCAGUCACAUUGUUAAGGAAAUUAUCUGGAAGAACAAUCUUCUGUAUCUUUGCACUCCAAUUGGUCCUUGUAUUUUGUUUUAAUUAUACUGUCAAAUUCACGGAGAUUCUAUCUACCAAAUGGAAAUUGCUAGAGCUGGGGAGAUUUUUUUUCAUUAAAUAUUUAUGGGUAAAUUAGGUCUGAACUCCCUAAUCUUUCGCAUAAUCUCAC
rnacentral:lncRNA from 1 species